rnacentral:misc_RNA from 1 species
GAUGAAGAACGUAGCGAAAUGCGAUAAGUAAUGUGAAUUGCAGAAUUCAGUGAAUCAUCGAAUCUUUGAACGCACAUUGCGCCCGCCAGCAUUCUGGCGGGCAUGCCUGUUCGAGCGUCAUUUCAACCCUCAAGCUCUGCUUGGUGUUGGGGCCCUACGGUUGACGUAGGCCCUUAAAGGUAGUGGCGGACCCUCUCGGAGCCUCCUUUGCGUAGUAACUAACGUCUCGCAUUGGGAUUCGGAGGGACUCUUGCCGUAAACCCCCCAAAUUUUCUAAUGGUUGACCUCGGAUCAGGUAGGAAUACCCGCUGAACUUAAGCAUAUAAAUAAGCGGAGGA